rnacentral:rRNA from 1 species
CCCUUAGAUGUUCUGGGCCGCACGCGCGCUACACUGACGAAUGCAACGAGCUUAUAACCUUGGCCGAAAGGUCUGGGUAAUCUCCAAAUUUCGUCGUGAUGGGGAUAGAUUAUUGCAAUUAUUAAUCUUCAACGAGGAAUGCCUAGUAAGCGCAAGUCAUCAGCUUGCGUUGAUUACGUCCCUGCCCUUUGUACACACCGCCCGUCGCUCCUACCGAUUGAAUGGUCCGGUGAAGCGCUCGGACCGCGGCCUCUUGACGGUUCGCUGUCGAUUGGCUGUGGGAAGUUCGUUAAACCUUAUCAUUUAGAGGAAGGAGAAGCCGUANCA